AGAGCAAGUGUCAACAGGCAGAACAAGUGUUAGUGGAUUAUUAAUACUCAGUAGAGCAAAGCUAAGCAAGGUUCAGUUGAGCAGAUCUGACCACAAGUUCACAACAGACCACAACAGCUCAAAAGAACAGUGUCAAAGUUACAACAUCAAAAUAAAUUUCCCGUAUUUUAAAUAUAUUUUUUCUUAUAUUAUAUAUUUAAUAUGUUUUUAAUAUAAUAUAUAAAAUGCAAGGGUACACUACACUUUAGUCUCCCCACAAUAGUACAGUCUUUGUUACUGUGUUUUCUCUUUUCUCUGUGUAUUCCUCCUUUUUCAACCCUUCUUCUCCCCACUUAAGAAAAAAAAAAAAAAAAAAAAAAAAACUUCUCUUUGCCGUAGCCAUGUCUUCCCCUUUUCAACCUUUAAACUUAAUAACGAAGAAGAAGAAGAAAGAAAUGAGUUGUUCUUGUAUUGAAGAAAUCAAAGAUUUUAUUUGGCAUUGUUUUUUGUUUUCAGUUUGCUUUUUUUAAAACCAAAAACCAAAAACAGGAAACAAGAAAAAGGUGUUUCCACUUUUUUUUUUGUCAGUUUUUUAAAUUAUAAGAAUUUUAAUAAGUUUGACUAAAUUUUUUAUUCAUUAUACGACAUAUAUCGUGUGAUUUUGAAAAUCAAAAAACCAAAAAAUAGAAAACCACGAUAAUGUCAAACAAACCCUUAGGUUUUUGAUUUAUGUCGGGAUCUUUCGGUUCAAAUUGAAAGAAAUGAUAAGGAUAUUAAGGAAUUGGAAUUCCUUGAGGCCCAUGACGAGCUGUUUGGUGAAGUUGUUUCAAGUGUGGUUCAUAUCAAUGUUAGAAAACUUCUGACAACGAGUUGUCCGAGUAAACGACAUCGGAAAUCCUACUCGGCAACGGGGUUUGCAAUUUCUUCCUGGACCUCACAAAACAAGGUAUGCUCUCUUAUUAUCACCGCCGCCGGAAACCCUCCGUUUGAUCCGUCAGACUCGGUGGAUAAAUUUAAUGCUGAAAAUGAGAUUCAAGUUAAAUUUUAUAAAGAAGAUGUUAUGCAUAAUUCUGUUGGAGUUUUGCAAUUCUAGUAAUGCAAAUCGGAGCUUUACCAAGUGAGUGUGCAAGGAGUUAACGAGGGAAAGGUGUAGCAAGCAAGUUGGUGAGCCGCGCGAGACCGAGCUAGCAAGAGAGCUAGAGCUCGGAUGCUCUCAAUGGCCUGCAGCAGGUCCGAGCGAGAGCUCGCCUAUGUGCUGCUGGAAAUGCCUUGCGGCAGACCCGAGCGAGGGAGCUAUAGCUCGCUGCUGGCAGAGCCUUGCGGCAGUCCGAGCGAUAGCUCGCCAGCGAGUGAGCGAUAGCUCGCAGCUCAUGAAGGCUACGGCAAGGCUGAGCGAUAACUCACUCGCUAGAGAGCGAUAGCUCGCCAGCCCAGCCGUGGUAUGGGCCUUGCGUGAGGCUUGUGCUUCUAUUUCCUUUUUCUUAUUACUCCUAUAAAUACUACUUCUUGGCUAUUAUUUCAAUCAUAGGUUAAUUUCAUUAUUGAAAUACCCUAAACACUCAAACACAAACCUACCCUUUGAGAUCUGAACAGUUCUCGAAUAAUUCCACUCUACGGGUUCGAGUGUACGAAUUACGAGAGUUGCGUUAAACUUGGGGGGUGUGCGUCACUGGGAAACUUGUACUGGUGGUGGCUUGUACUGGUGGUGGCGUAUUUCGCUUUUAAGGCAGUGAAUUUUGUUCCGCGGCGCAACUGUGAGUUUGAGAUCUUCAAUUCAGGAAAGUUUUAAUCUUUAUUUGUUAUUGAUUUCAAUAGUUAUUUUACCAACAAAUUCAUCUAUCAUUUCCACUGACAAUGAUGUUGUACUUGUAUAUCUUGAGGAAAUUUCUACUAAUAUUGUUAGAAUUCCGGUAAGAUUUAGUAAUGAAUCUGAUGUUCUAAGGGGUAUGGUGGUAUACUAUUUGGCAUGUUCUAGUGGCAAAUAUCAUUUAUGUGUUGAAGGUCGAGUUAGCCAUAUUGAAGGAAAGGAACUGUUUCACCAAGUUAGAGUUCCAAAUAUUAGCAUCGGUGGCCCGAUCUUCAACGCUGAUAGGGAGGUUCUUGCUGUGAUGAAGACUGGUGGUGAGGAAAUUACUUUGGAUUGAAAUCUGCUCUUACUGUAGAUGGUCUUAGACUAUUUUUGAUGCAGUUUUUUCAUUUACACAAUUUCAAAGAUUCUCCAAUGGAUGACCUCUUGAAGGAGGUAGUAAAGAAGAUGAUGUGAGCUAAAUCUUGACUUUGGUGUAUUAAAUUAAUACUGUAUUAGAUUAGUAGAAUAGAUUAGAUUAGUAGAAACUACAAAGGAUUUGAUGUAUAAUAUUUUAAAUGUGACUUUUAAAUAGUAUAUGUAAUUGAAGUUGUCAAGUGGCAAGAAUGAUUAUUAGUAGAAUGAAUUGAAAUUACUAGUGGUGUUUUUUUUUUCCUCUUAUA